CCCUGCCAUUUGUACACACCGCCCGUCGCUACUACCGAUUGAACGUUUUAGUGAGGUAUUUGGACUGGGCCUUGGGAGGAUUCGUUCUCCCAUGUUGCUCGGGAAGACUCCCAAACUUGAGCGUUUAGAGGAAG
rnacentral:rRNA from 1 species